rnacentral:rRNA from 1 species
GACGGAGGAUGCAAGCGUUAUCCGGAAUUAUUGGGCGUAAAGCGUCCGCAGGUGGAUGUACAAGUCUGCUGUCAAAGUGCAGAGCUUAACUCUGUAAAAGGCGGUGGAAACUGUAGGUCUUGAGUAUGGUGAGGGGUAGAGGGGAAUUCCCGGUGUAGCGGUGAAAUGCGUAGAUAUCGGGAAGAACACCAGUGGCGAAAGCGCUCUACUGGGCCAUAACUGACACUGAGGGACGAAAGCUAGGGGGAGCGAAAGGG